AGCCAUGCCGCGUGAGUGAAGAAGGCCUUCGGGUUGUAAAGCUCUUUCAGGUGGAAAGAAAGCGGAUGAGUUAAUACCUUGUCCGGAUGACGGUACCACCAGAAGAAGCACCGGCUAACUACGUGCCAGCAGCCGCGGUAAUACGUAGGGUGCGAGCGUUAAUCGGAAUUACUGGGCGUAAAGCGUGCGCAGGCGGUUGUGUAAGACAGGUGUGAAAUCCCCGGGCUUAACCUGGGAACUGCGCUUGUGACUGCACAGCUAGAGUACGGCAGAGGGGGGUAGAAUUCCACGUGUAGCAGUGAAAUGCGUAGAGAUGUGGAGGAAUACCGAUGGCGAAGGCAGCCCCCUGGGCCUGUACUGACGCUCAUGCACGAAAGCGUGGGGAGCAAACAGGAUUAGAUACCCUGGUAGUCCACGCCCUAAACGAUGUCAACUAGUUGUUCGG
rnacentral:rRNA from 1 species